CAGAGUUCAUGCCCUUCGGGGUAGACCUCCCACCCUUUGUUAUACAUACCUUUGUUGCUUUGGCAGGCCGCCUUCGGGCUAUCGGCUCUGGCUGAUACGUGCCUGCCAAAGAACCCCAAACUCUGAAUUAAGUGUCGUCUGAGUACUAUAUAAUAGUUA
rnacentral:misc_RNA from 1 species